ACAGCAGUAGUGAUAGUUGGAACAACAAUAGACCCACGGACCUUGACGGUCAUCUGACUUAACUAUGAAGACGUAAGUGUAGCAGCAGUAGUGGUAGUUGGAACAACAAGAGGCUCACGGACCUUGACGGUCAUCUAACUUAACUAUAAAGACACAAGGGUAACAACAGUAGUGAUUGUAAGAACAACAAAUGUCCCUUGGACUUUAUCUCACGUUUAAAAUACUAAAUGAUAACUGAUUUUAAAUAUUGGAAUAUGUCUUCAUGAAAUUAUGAAAGAAGUAGAAAGAUAUCUUUUGAAUUAGUGUAAGGCAGGAUCAAGCGCCAUCUCUGGUUAGGUAGAGCUCCCUGCUCAACAUAUAAUUAUCUGACACUACGUGACAGUUAAACUGCAGAGCUUUAAAAAUAACCUUGACAGAUCAACUGCGCAAUAUACCGGUCUUAUCGUUACUGUUAGCAACAACACACAACAAGGAAGUAUUAGUGUCUGUUUAGUCCGUACAUGUAGAUCAGCAAUUACAAAAGAAUUUAUCUGUUUAUUCGGGGAAAAGAGCUAUAAUAGAAGAAGGAGAGGAACAAUAACUUUGUCGACAGUGAUGAUACAUUUGUAUGUGUGUUUCUUUUGACAAUCAGAAGUGUGAAGAUACAGAGUUGGCUUCCUGAGACCUCAUUUUAUCAAACAUCCAUGUAAGUUAUAAUGUAUUCACGUGAGGUAAGGUAGGGUGGUGUGGUGUGUGUAAUAUUUGUGGGGUACUAGAGUCGGUUCAGGGGUUUUUUGUGGUGAGUGUGGGAAAGGGUUGAAUAUAGAUUUUGCAACAGGCAACUGACAACCGUUUUAGGGCGAUAUAGGGUAGAGGGAUUGCAGGUAUAUUGAGUAACAUUACAGGAGCAUCUUAUUAUUAUUGUAUUGAAUUUAGACUCGACGGCGACGCGCAAGCUGGACACUGCCGCCAUGUCACUUUUUUUUCAAAAUAUUUUCAAGACUUUUCCUUUGAAGCAGUAUGCAUUUGAAAAUGUUAUGUAAGUAUCUAGCACAUUUUUGUUGCUUCCGUAAAGUAUUUCAGUAUUUUGAAAUGGAUUUAUUUUUGAAUGAUCGUUUCAUAAUGAUCUCAUCGCAGUCACUUCUGUCAGUGGCCCAACAGAUAGGAAAUUAAACAGAAAAAACUUAUCUGUAAUAUUGUACUGUACUACUUACGCUACCGUGAAUAGAUCUAGGAAACUAUCUGUGUAAUAUAUCGAUUUUACUUUAAGAUAUCAGUCACUGUCCGUGCUAUUGUAGAUCUAGCUCUUUCAAAUUUCUGAUCGGAGAGUACCCCAAGUCCAGGGUAUGAAAUCGUACGGGAACUCUACAGCUAUGCCAAUUGUAAGGUUUACAUGUGAAGUUAAUAUAUAUAGUUUUAGCUUAAAUUUAGUUUUUGUCUUUCUGACAUGAUGUCUCGUUGAUUCUGUUGAAGAGUGAUGCAUGUGAACGAUUACAAUAUGAAGAUUGGGAAUAAUGAAGACGUCAAUUAACAUCUGAAACCCGGAAGGUGUUUCAAUGAAGAUUAGGAUAAACCUAGCAAAGUGUUGGGUCCCAGUGUGAAUGUGUAAAGUGUAAGGUCCCAGUGUGAAUGUGUAAAGUGUAAUUGGUACAAUUCUUAUUAUGCCUGAACUUUUAAUAUAUGUACUGUAUUUGUUCAUCUCAGAAAUUUCAGUAUUAUGUCAACUGCGUCCACUUUCAGUUCAACACUUUUGAUUCAUCAAUUUUACCCAGCCUUAGACUCAAUAUUUGUCAUUAAUUGUCGACUGGUUUUUUUUAGCGUUUUAGAGUUUUGUUUCCAUGGUGAAUGGAAUGAAAUGGGAUAAAUAGUCUAACCAAUACCCUCGAGAGCUAAUUAAGACAUUGCAGUAUUAUCACUUUGGGCCUUAUUAAAAGUCAAGUUGAAACUUUAAGAAACUCAAGUGACCCAGGUGGAUGUCCCUGAAGAAAUGAAAUCUGGAAUGGUAGAAGGUAUCUCUAUUGAUUCUUCUAACUUGGAAUUGGCCAUUGUGACCAACAAUGGAUUUGAGGACCUUACGGUGGAGAAAAACGUCCUUCUUUCCGGCCUCCAAUUAGAUGUUGAAGAUGAUUAAUCACUUGAGGAGAUGCUAACAACCAUGUUGCCUUUUAAGGUCACAGUACUCUCUAAAGGCGGCAAUAUAUUUACCAUCACGAAAGAAGAAUCAACAAAUCGCGGAAACUAGAAAAAUGUGGAAAAGAUCAUUGUAUAUUGCAUUUGUAGUAAAUUUGUAUAAAUCUUUAAUUUACUUGAGUAGAAAGAUUCACUAGUUAUACCAAGUUUGUGUAGAAAGGAUCACUGUAUACUGAGUUUGUAGUGUACAUAGAAAGGCUUACGUAUUUUGUUUUUCUGAGUUAAGUGUAUACAAUAUAUAUAAAAAAAACUUUUUGUAGAAAAUAUCACCGCAUACUGAGUUUGUUGUUUACAAAUGUGUAGAAAAGAUCGUUGUAUACCGAGUUUAUAGUUUACAAUUGUCUAGAAAAAUCACUGUAUACUGAACAUAAUACGACUUCUGUUUAAAACCUAGGCAUGUAUUUUUUUUUAUUUAUCUUAAAAGUCUACCUACAACAAUUUUGUGUAUGCAAAUUUUGUACUAGGAUAUUGACCUGACAAGAUUACAUUGCUGAUCAAAGCAUGGAAAGAAUACUGUAUCUAAAAACUGAAUAAAACAAGAUAUAAGCAUCUUUA